rnacentral:tRNA from 1 species
UUUUUGUUAGGAUAAUUAGUCUAUAGAAUUCAUAUUUCUAAGGUAAACAGAAUU